GAUGAACGCUGGCGGCGUGCCUAAUACAUGCAAGUCGAGCGAACAGAUGAGAAGCUUGCUUCUCUGAUGUUAGCGGCGGACGGGUGAGUAACACGUGGGUAACCUACCUAUAAGACUGGGAUAACUCCGGGAAACCGGGGCUAAUACCGGAUAAUAUUUUGAACCGCAUGGUUCAAUAGUGAAAGACGGUUUCGGCUGUCACUUAUAGAUGGACCCGCGCCGUAUUAGCUAGUUGGUAAGGUAACGGCUUACCAAGGCGACGAUACGUAGCCGACCGGAGAGGGGGGUCGGCCACACUGGAACUGAGACACGGUCCAGACUCCUACGGGAGGCAGCAGUAGGGAAUCUUCCGCAAUGGGCGAAAGCCUGACGGAGCAACGCCGCGUGAGUGAUGAAGGUUUUCGGAUUGUAAAACUCUGUUGUAAGGGAAGAACAAGUACGUUAGGAAAUGAACGUACCUUGACGGUACCUUAUUAGAAAGCCACGGCUAACUACGUGCCAGCCGCCGCAGUAA
rnacentral:rRNA from 1 species